rnacentral:misc_RNA from 1 species
UCCGAUUUGGCACCGGCGGUCUCCCAUGAGUCCCCGGCAUGACCCGCUGGCAACAUGGGACAGGGGUUGCGCUCGUUGCGCCACUUAAGGCAACACCUCACGGCACGAGCUGACGACAGCCAUGCAGCACCUGUGCUAGCCCCAAAAGGACACGGGCUUUCACCCGCUUUACCCUGCAUGUCAAGCCCAGGUAAGGUUCUUCGCGUUGCAUCGAAUUAAGCCACAUGCUCCGCCGCUUGUGCGGGUCCCCGUCAAUUCCUUUGAGUUUUAGCCUUGCGGCCGUACUCCCCAGGCGGGGUGCUUAAUGCGUUAGCUUCGGCACAGAGGGGGUUGAUGCCCCCCACACCUAGCACCCAACGUUUACGGCUGGGACUAC